AUUGAACGCUGGCGGCAGGCCUAACACAUGCAAGUCGAGCGGAUGAAGGGAGCUUGCUCCUGGAUUCAGCGGCGGACGGGUGAGUAAUGCCUAGGAAUCUGCCUGGAAGUGGGGGAUAACGUCCGGAAACGGGCGCUAAUACCGCAUACGUCCUGAGGGAGAAAGUGGGGGAUCUUCGGACCUUACGCUAUCAGAUGAGCCUAGGUCGGAUUAGCUAGUUGGUGGGGUAAAGGCCUACCAAGGCGACGAUCCGUAACUGGUCUGAGAGGAUGAUCAGUCACACUGGAACUGAGACACGGUCCAGACUCCUACGGGAGGCAGCAGUGGGGAAUAUUGGACAAUGGGCGAAAGCCUGAUCCAGCCAUGCCGCGUGUGUGAAGAAGGUCUUCGGAUUGUAAAGCACUUUAAGUUGGGAAGAAGGGCAGUAAGUUAAUACCUUGCUGUUUUGACGUUACCAACAGAAUAAGCACCGGCCAACUUCGUG
rnacentral:rRNA from 1 species